rnacentral:rRNA from 1 species
CACGCCGUAAACGAUGAAUACUAGGUGUUGGGGAGCAAAGCUCUUCGGUGCCGCAGCAAACGCAAUAAGUAUUCCACCUGGGGAGUACGUUCGCAAGAAUGAAACUCAAAGGAAUUGACG